rnacentral:pre_miRNA from 1 species
UGAUCAAGUAGCGCCGCUUGGUCUUUGAAUUGAUUGAUCAGCGUCGUUGCUUGAUCCAU